GACGAACGCUGGCGGCGUGCUUAACACAUGCAAGUCGAGCGAUGAAGCUUCUUCGGAAAUGGAUUAGCGGCGAACGGGUGAGGAACACGUGAAGAAUCUGCCCUCCACUUCGGGAUAACACCGGGAAACCGGUGCUAAUACUGAAUAUUGAAACAUAAGUGGCAUCACUGAGUUUUGAAAGAAUUUCGGUGGAGGAUGACUUCGCGGCCUAUCAGCUAGUUGGUGAGGUAAUGGCUCACCAAGGCAACGACGGGUAGCCGGCCUGAGAGGGCGACCGGCCACACCGGGACUGAGACACGGCCCAGACUCCUACGGGAGGCAGCAGUGGGGAAUAUUGGGCAAUGGAGGAAACUCUGACCCAGCGACGCCGCGUGCGGGAUGAAGGCCUUCGGGUUGUAAACCGCUUUCAGUAGGGAAGAAGCGAAAGUGACGGUACCUACAAAAGAAGCACCGGCUAACUAUGUGCCAGCCGCCGCCGUAA
rnacentral:rRNA from 1 species